rnacentral:rRNA from 1 species
UUGGGGGAAAGAUUUAUCGGAGAAGGAUCGGCCCGCGUUAGAUUAGGUAGUUGGUGGGGUAACGGCCUACCAAGCCUACGAUCUAUAGCUGGUUUUAGAGGAUGAUCAGCAACACUGGGACUGAGACACGGCCCAGACUCCUACGGGAGGCAGCAGUGGGGAAUCUUAGACAAUGGGGGCAACCCUGAUCUAGCCAUGCCGCGUGAGUGAUGAAGGCCUUAGGGUCGUAAAGCUCUUUCGCCUGUGAUGAUAAUGACAGUAGCAGGUAAAGAAACCCCGGCUAACUCCGUGCCAGCAGCCGCGGUAAUACGGAGGGGGUUAGCGUUGUUCGGAAUUACUGGGCGUAAAGCGCGCGUAGGCGGAUUAGAAAGUUGGGGGUGAAAUCCCGAGGCUCAACCUCGGAACUGCCUCCAAAACUGCUAGUCUAGAGUUCGAGAGAGGUGAGUGGAAUUCCGAGUGUAGAGGUGAAAUUCGUAGAUAUUCGGAGGAACACCAGUGGCGAAGGCGGCUCACUGGCUCGAUACUGACGCUGAGGUGCGAAAGUGUGGGGAGCAAACAGGAUUAGAUACCCUAGUAUGUCACACCGUAAACGAUGAAUGCAGUCGGCGGAUAGAUCCUUUCGGUGACCACCUACGGUUA